CAGACUAAGAAUAGCUGACAGGAGAGGCUUUCUGGUGACAUCAGAGCACAGCAGCAGCUUGGGGGCGGGGCCGUGGUUUCCUCCAGCUUUGCAACAUCUGCCCAGGAGGGCUCCACCUUCCCUCCAGAGAGGGCCUGACGAAGGGACAGGAAGGGGUCUGGCGAUCCCGGAACAAGCGGGGUUUCCAUCGGUCUGACACACUGAAGCCAGAGAAGAGAAGCUACUUAUCCAAGGUCGCACUGACAGCCUCCCCCAGAUUACUCACGCUCCCUUUACCAGGAUUGUCCCUACCGCCCGAGGACCCACAUGUACCCUGAGUGGAAAGACAGGAGGCCACCUGUGGGGCGUCCCUGGUGCCCUGGCCACGCGCCCUCGAGGCUGAUAGGCCACUGGAGUCUCUGGGACGCGGGGUUAAUGAACCACAUCUUUCAGCACAGCUGCCGAGCAGCUGGUCCAAGGUCACACUACCGGAACUCACCAAGAGAAUACUGAUACGUGUGCACCCGUGCUACCGGGUGGCAGAGGAAUGCCACCGCCACGUUGAUGCGAUUUGUGACUCUCCACCCUGGCGGCCUCUUCAAAGCCACCAACCCCGGAGCCCCUACCCCCAGGGUGUCUGAUUUCUUGCGCCCAGGACGCAGCCUGCCCCUGUUUGCUUUAGGGGCGCCCCAGGCGAGCCUAACUUGCAGCUUGGGGUGGAGACAGCGUUUCUCAAACUCUCCUGUGUAUUGGAAUCAUCUGGGAGGUUAAAAUACGGCCCUCCCCCACCCCAGCCUGAUUUUAAUUGGGGCCGGGGGUGUGGCCUGGGCAUUAGGGUCUUGAAAUGCUCCCCCAGGUGAUUCAAACGUGUGGCCCGGUUGGAGAACACGGUUCUGGUUCGUUCUGCAUCCGGACUCUUGGCCCCACCCCUGAUCUCCUACAGACAGGGCUGCCCUGCCCUUGCAGAGUCCUCCCGAAAGAGACUUCGGUCCCGUGUUGCUGCUCAUCUAUAGAUAAGCGUCUCCAGAAAACUCUGUUCUCGGCUUCUGAAUGUCAAGAAGAAGUCAAUCCGAAGCAGUACGUCUUCUAGCUGCCCCUCCCUGAACAGGAAAUAAACACUCAGCAUGAGUGGCAUGAAAACGUG